CUUUUUUGUGGUUUUAUAGAGAACUUAAAUAACUGACAUUGAAAACGAUUGUUUCUUAAAUGAGCAGUAUCAGGAAUGUUCAUGUAUUUAUGCAUAGCACAGUGUAUAUGCAGCAGGAGUUGUAGGGCAUGCUAGCAAAUGACUACAAAAAUAGCAGUUAAUGACCUGACAGUGUGAAACUUAAAUGGCUAUUCCUCUGUGAAUCUUUUAAUGUCUCUAGUGGGCGUGCCAUGCAAAUGAUAUCCUGCGUUUGAACCAUUUAUGCAGUUAUAUACGUUCAGCUCAACAACAUACCAGCAGUUUGUGUUCAUUAAUAGCAAAAGUUACCUUGAGAUGGGACUAGGCAGAGUUUUGAGUUACAUUGCUCUAGCAAUGUUCAUUCAAUAUUCCUGCAGUCAGACACUGAUCGAGUCCGAUUCAGUGAUCAUCAAACCUGAUCAGUCUCAUAAACUGUCCUGCACAGCAUCUGGAUUUAACUUUGGUGGCUCUUGGAUGGCUUGGAUCAGACAGGCACCUGGAAAAGGGCUGGAAUGGGUUGCAACUAUCUCAGACACCAGUGGUAGCAAGUAUUACUCCAAUGCAGUUAAUGGCCGCUUCACCAUCUCCAGAGACAACAGUAAGAUGCAGGUGUAUCUGCACAUGACCAGUGUGAGGACAGAAGACACUGCAGUGUAUUACUGCACUAGAGAAGCACAGUGACACAUGAGGUUGCAGAGCUGUACACAAACCCCUUCAUAAAUAUGAAAGCAUUUUUUUUCUUUUUUCUAUCCUACAGAACAUAUUUACAAGGAAAACAUUUUUCCAAAUAUUAAACAUAGAAAGACACUCCA